rnacentral:rRNA from 1 species
GACGAACGCUGGCGGUGUGCUUAACACAUGCAAGUCGAACGGUAAGGCCCUUUCUGGGGUACACGAGUGGCGAACGGGGGCGUAACACGUGAGUAACCUGCCCUCAUCUCUGAGAUAACAGUCGGAAACGGUUGCUAAUACUGGAUAUGAGCUUUCUAUGCAUCUUGUGGGUUGGAAAGAUUUUUUUUGGUUUGGGAUGGAGUCGCGGCCUAUCAGCUUGUUGUUGGGGUAGUGGCUCAGCAAGGCUUCGACGGGUAGCCGGCAUGAGCGCGCGACCGGCCACACUGGACUCGGGAUACGGGCCACACUCCUGAGGGAGGCGGCAGGGGGGAAUAUUGCACAAUGGACGGCAGUCUGAUGCAGCAACGCCGCGUGCGGGAUGACGGCUUUCGGGUUGUAAGCCGCUUUCAAUUGUGAAGAAGCUUUUUUGUGACGGUAGCAGUAGAAGAAGCACCGGCUAACUACGUG